CUUAUGUAUACCACUCUCCUCCUCCUCCAGUGAAGUCUCCUCCACCACCUUAUUAUUACCACUCUCCACCACCACCCGUGAAAUCUCCUCCCCCUCCUUAUGUAUAUCACUCUCCUCCACCUCCGAUUAAGUCUCCACCACCACCGUACUACUAUCACUCACCACCACCACCGGUGAAAUCGCCUCCUCCUCCUUACUAUUAUCAUUCUCCACCACCACCGGUUAAAUCUCCACCACCACCAUAUUACUACCAUUCUCCACCACCACCGGUUAAAUCUCCACCACCUCCAUACUACUACCACUCUCCACCUCCUCCGGUCAAGUCUCCACCGCCACCAUACUACUACCACUCUCCACCUCCUCCGGUCAAGUCUCCACCACCACCGUACUACUAUCACUCUCCGCCUCCUCCGGUCAAGUCUCCUCCACCACCGUACUACUAUCACUCUCCACCUCCUCCGGUCAAGUCUCCUCCACCACCAUACUACUACCACUCUCCCCCUCCUCCGGUGAAGUCUCCACCACCACCGUAUUACUACCACUCUCCUCCUCCUCCGGUUAAAUCUCCACCACCACCAUACUACUAUCACUCUCCACCACCACCGGUCAAAUCCCCACCACCACCAUAUUAUUACCAUUCUCCACCACCACCGGUAAAGUCACCACCUCCACCAUAUUAUUACCAUUCUCCUCCUCCUCCGGUAAAAUCACCACCUCCACCAUAUUAUUAUCACUCUCCUCCUCCUCCAGUGAAAUCACCACCUCCACCUUACUAUUACUCAUCCCCACCACCACCAAAAUCUUACCCUCCACCAUACCACUACUCAUCUCCUCCACCACCACCAAAGUCGUACUCGCCACCAUACUACUACUCAUCACCACCACCUCCUGUGUCGUACCCUCAUCCUCACCCACACCCACACCCACAUCCACUUGUCUUCAAAGUUGUAGGUAAAGUGUAUUGUUACAGAUGUUAUGACUGGACUUACCCCAAAAAGUCCCACGAUAAGAAGCAUCUCAAAGGUACUUAAGUUUUCCACGUGUUCAAUAAUUAAUGUCUUAAUCUUAACAGGUUUAUUAAUUAUUUAGACAGAAUUGUUAUCUUGAUGAUUAUAGGAUGAUUACAGGCUUAAAGGAUUUAAAAAACUAGCAUAUAUGUAUUGUAAAGUGGUAGUUGCAUACUUGCAUUGCAUGUAGUCUAUAUUAUUUAUUAGUGGAGAAACGCAAACGAUAAAGUCAAGAAAAAGACAAGAAUCUGUUAUUGACUUAUACAAUCCAAUGAGAUCGAACAAGCAAAAUCAAUUUAGUAGAUACCCAACUAAAAGGACAUAAACUGAUAUUUAAAAUUUAAAUAAUUUGAUUUUUUUUUGUCAUAUAGGUGCUGUUGUAGAAGUGACUUGUAAGGCCGGUGACAAGAUAGUGAAGGCAUACGGAAAGACCAAAAUCAACGGUAAAUAUGCAAUCACCGUUAAGGGAUACAACUACCGUAAAUACGGUGGCGAAGUUUGCACGGCCAAGCUUCACGCGCCGCCUAAAGGCUCACCGUGUAACAUUCCUACAAGCUACCAUAUGGGUAACAAAGGUGCAAAGCUUCAUGUGAAAUCAAAGACAAAGUACGAGGUUGUGCUCUAUGCCAAGUCCUUUGCUUAUGCACCUAAGAAACCUUACGGAGAAUGCCACAAACCAGCUCCUUACCAUCCUCCUUACUACUACAAAUCGCCACCACCACCAUCUCCGGUUUACUACUACAAGUCACCACCACCACCGGCUCCAACCUAUGUCUACAAAUCUCCACCACCACCAACUCCGACUUACGUCUACAAGUCGCCGCCUCCUCCAACCCCAACAUAUGUCUACAAAUCGCCUCCUCCUCCUACCCCAACAUACGUAUACAAGUCUCCUCCACCACCAACUCCAACUUACGUAUACAAAUCACCACCACCGCCGACUCCAACUUACGUCUACAAGUCGCCUCCUCCACCUACGCCAACCUAUGUCUAUAAAUCUCCACCGCCACCAACCCCGACUUAUGUUUACAAGUCACCACCACCUCCGACUCCGACAUACAUUUACAAGUCUCCACCACCUCCUACUCCGACUUAUGUCUACAAGUCACCACCUCCACCAACCCCUACAUAUGUCUAUAAGUCACCACCUCCACCCACUCCGACCUACGUCUACAAGUCACCACCACCUCCAACUCACACUCCUACACCAUACUACUACCAUUCUCCACCACCACCAGUAAAAUCCCCUCCACCUCCUUAUUACUACCACUCACCACCACCACCGGUUAAAUCUCCACCACCACCAUACUACUAUCAUUCACCACCUCCUCUGGUGAAGUCUCCUCCACCACCAUACUAUUACCAUUCACCACCACCUCCAGUAAAAUCUCCUCCCCCCCCAUACUACUAUCACUCCCCACCUCCUCCAGUGAAGUCUCCUCCGCCACCUUACUAUUAUCACUCCCCACCUCCUCCAGUAAAAUCACCACCACCACCAUAUUAUUACCACUCUCCAC
rnacentral:lncRNA from 1 species